CCUACGAGUGGCAGCAGUGAGGAAUAUUGGUCAAUGGGCGCUAGCCUGAACCAGCCAAGUCGCGUGAAGGAUGACUGCCCUAUGGGUUGUAAACUUCUUUUAUAUGGGAAUAAAGUGCAGUAUGUAUACUGCUUUGCAUGUACCUUAUGAAUAAGCAUCGGCUAACUCCGUGCCAGCAGCCGCGGUAAUACGGAGGAUCCGAGCGUUAUCCGGAUUUAUUGGGUUUAAAGGGAGCGUAGGCGGGUUGUUAAGUCAGUUGUGAAAGUUUGCGGCUCAACCCUAAGAUUGCAGUUGAUACUGGCAGCCUGGAGUACAGGAGAGGUAGGCGGAAUUCGUGGUGUAGCGGUGAAAUGCUUAGAUAGCACGAAGAACUCCGAUUGCGAAGGCAGCCUGCUGGACUGUAACUGACGCUGAUGCUCGAAAGUGUGGGUAGCAAACAGGAUUAGAUACCCGGGUAGUC
rnacentral:rRNA from 1 species